CUCAGGAUGAACGCUGGCGGCGUGCCUAACACAUGCAAGUCGAACGAAGCACUUAGACAGAUCCUUCGGGUGACGUAUUGGUGACUGAGUGGCGGACGGGUGAGUAACGCGUGGGUAACCUGCCCUGUACAGGGGGAUAACAGUUAGAAAUGACUGCUAAUACCGCAUAAGCGCACGAUGGUAGCAUUACCAGGUGUGAAAAAACUCCGGUGGUACAGGAUGGGCCCGCGUCUGAUUAGCUUGUUGGCGGGGUAAGAGCCCACCAAGGCGACGAUCAGUAGCCGGUCUGAGAGGAUGAACGGCCACAUUGGAACUGAGACACGGUCCAAACUCCUACGGGAGGCAGCAGUGGGGAAUAUUGCACAAUGGGGGGAACCCUGAUGCAGCCAACGCCGCGUGAGUGAAGAAGUAUUUCGGUAUGUAAAGCUCUAUCAGCAGGGAAGAUAAUGACGGUACCUGACUAAGAAGCUCCGGCUAAAUACGUGCCAGCCGCCGC
rnacentral:rRNA from 1 species